CCCUUAGAUGUUCUGGGCCGCACGCGUGCUACACUGAUGCAUUCAACGAGUCUAAAACCUGGUCUGAUAGGGCUGGGUAAUCUUUUGAAAGUGCAUCGUGAUUGGGAUAGAUGAUUGCAAUUCUUCAUCUUCAACGAGGAAUGCCUAGUAAACGCAAGUCAUCAGCUUGCAUUGAUUACGUCCCUGCCCCUUGUACACACCGCCCGUCGCUGCCCGGAACUGAGCCGUUUCGAGAAAGCUGGGGACUGACGGCUUGUGGGUGCGCAAGCACUUCUUGCCGAUGGAAACCAGUUUAAUCGGUAUGGCUUGAACCGGGCAAAAGUCGUAACA
rnacentral:rRNA from 1 species